CCGGUUUUGGGAACAACUGGACUGGGGGAGACCUCGGGAUUUGAAUCCGGUGAACCGCCUCAGAAUUUGUCAGGGUCCGCUAUAAACUCGGGACGCUGGUCUUCAAAUCCCUUCGAAUCCACAUGGAUUUCACACUCAAGUCGUGAAGAAGCAGAGGAUGGCAGAAUGUAAAGCAUCUCUGCGUGUGAGCCGGACUGCCAGGCUGUCAGACUCCAUCGCCCCCCCCCCCCCCCCCACUCAAGGUCAGGCCCAGCUCAAGGUCGGGGACGACAACCGCUGACAAGUGACAAGGUGGAGGCGGAGGUUCCCUUUAAUGCGCGGCGAAGCCCCCUGAGACUCGUGUCGCCGUGACGCGAGACAGGUCGCGCGUACCUGUGCAUUCCGGCCCUGGACCACGGAGGAUACGUGUGGCUAAAGCACUAGCCGUCAUCAUACAGCCCACAGUCCUGUUAGCGUCAGUGUCAACUCUGGGCAGCAAGUCAGUGGGACUGUUCGCACCUAUUCUCAACUGAGUAUGCAGUGACCAAAAGAGGAAGCACAACAGCACUCCAACUGUCAUGGGUUCUGUGGGUUCUGCAAUGGAGGCGCAACUGUUUUCCUGGGAUGGUUCGGGGGCACUCAAACCCAAAGAAGGUAAGGUUGGUGUCAGUCCUUAUGCAGUGGUACACAGUUAAAUGUCCAGUGUUAAUUCAACUCUACCAGUGUUGUUUCAACUCUUAACAGAUAACGUUUGAUCCCACAUUCCAGAGUGGGACCAAAUGUUAUCUGUUAAAAGUUGAAUUAACACUGGACAUUUGACUGUGCAUGGGGACCAACCUCACCCCCAUGAUAAAACAGUUCUUUCCUGCAGAGAGGGAGUCUUCCACUGUUGACCGGCCCAUGUAAUAACCACCCAUUAGUGGGGACUGAGAUGAGUUCCCACCCUUCACAGUAAAUACUUUGACAUCAUGAGAUGACUAAACACAGUCCACUAGGAUGAUGUGUUAAAAUCUAAAAAAUAAUAGAUUGAUAAAAGCUAGAAUGAUGCAGAAGUGUAUGUGGUCUCAACAACAGAUGGAUCCACCUCGCUUCCUGCAGACUCAAAAAGAAAAAAAAAAUGACGGAUGCAGUCAUCAGUCAUUUGCCUCCAGCCUGCCAACAUGGAUUCUGUCCAAACUCCGAGAGCCAAUCUCAGCUGUCCGUCACCUUCCUCCAUCACAGACGUCUCCCUCUCGCUUCUGAGAACGCCCACGUUUUUAACCCUUGUUUCCACUGAAACGCAGGGAAUAUUAAUACCAUUUCAGAAGCGCUCUCGUCAUUUAUAAUACAUUCAAACGUUCCCAUAUUCACACAGAGUAUGUGUGUAUUUACAGCAUAUUGUCAGUGUCAUAGAAUAACCUUGUGUCCCCAUUUCUGAGCGUGAUACAUAAACAGAAAGAACAAUCUCCCUGCUGUUCUCAGGUGUGUGGCAAUUUAGAAUGGUUUGGCAGUGCAUGCUGGGUAUCUCGUGCUUUCUCGUUACCAGGGGGGAUUUAAAUGAUUUAGAGUGUGUACACAGCUCAUUUCCAGUACACAGCACAUUAAGAUGACAUUAAACUGAAUACAUAGCAGCACUCCGCAUGAAUAACCGAAAUGUCUCCACGUACCAGUAGAUCUGAUUAACCUGCCGCGCGCGAUCUACCACACCAUUUAUGUGUUCUACCUCGGUGUGUGCAGCAGAGGCACCCUGGCUGAUAUGAAAUAUUAAUAUUAAAUUUAGACAGCAACAACAAAAGCAACAUAAUGGAAAGAGGUUAAUUUCACGGGGAAAAACAGCUUUCUUCUUCUCUUCAGACAACAGCGAACAAACAAAAUACCAACGGUACGGGAUUUGUAAUAUCCAAUCAGGUGGACGUCAUUGAAAGUGCCCAAUGAAAAAGCACAGCCUAUGCGAUGUUUCUUUGUACUAAUUAAGACUUCUCAAUUCAAUGGCAAGGGGAGAGAUGGUGUGUAUUUGUGCUCCUGUAGUACAGUAAGCAGUAUAGCAAACUCGCAAGGAUCACAACAUGUGAGUUGGGUCUUCACAUUAUGGUUACACAAGAGUACACAUAUGAACUAUUAAAAUAAUCCUAGAAGAUGAGUAACCUAUGCUAUUUCAAAGCACAUGUUUUGUUCUCACGUGUUCUCACAUGUAAAACCUGUAGUUCACAUUUAAAAAUGUCACAGAUGUGAAAAUGUGAAGACGCAAAUGAGUCAAUGUGAUCUAUUUUCUUAUCACGUGGACAUUUUCAAAGCCAAGUGCAUGUUACAAAUGUCCAGUUCACAUUGCACAAAUUGCACAUGAUAUUUUUUUUGUACUGUAAGGGCCAUAUCUAACCGUGCAGCUCUAAUGCCAGGGCUGCUUCCUCUCAGUAUUGGUCUCCUUUACUGUGCUCAGCACUCUACAUGGAUCCCUGCGUAAGGUAGGGGAGGAACUGCUGGCAGUGCCCAGACAUCAGCACCUCUCAGCUGGGCUGAGAUUGAUUCAUCACUAAACCCCCCGCUGUGGAACUCUCGUCCAGCAGAGAUGAAUAAUUCUGAACCCCAGCAUGCCCCUCUCUCUGCCUGUGAAGUUUAAAUCUGCACCUGAUUGGCUGACUGAUCGGUGCCUUCCCUCUGUAUUUUUGUUGCUGUUGCCGCUUUUUUUUUUUUGCGGUUCACUGCCCUGGGAACGCUUGACGUGAAGAGCACUACAUCAAAGUGAAAUACUGAUUAAAUUGAUUGAUUUUCUUUGGGUCAGACAGAGGUGCGUUGUCCCUGGCCGACACUGGUGGACAAACAAACGAGGGAGAUGAAGAAUAACUGCACAAGACUACUCUCGGAUGUUUCUACUGGACCAAGCCGAAAUCUACACGGUCCACUUUAUGGGACCAGGGCUCUCAAACUCGCGGAAGGCCGUGGUCUCUGCUUGGUUUUUGUGAUUUCCUUUCAAGCGACCGCCAAAUUAGGCGUUGGAAACAAGACAGGAAGAAAGCUGAGAGGGAAACAGGAAGAGAAGAGAAGAGGUCAGAGGAUGGCUGAACCCAGGGCCGUGUCACCCGGGGUAGCAUUGGGCACCUCUACCAUUUGAUUGGCCACCCCAGGUACCACCCCUAUUUUUCCACCUAAAAUAGCACAUUAUCAUUGGCUAAUAUAACUCCUGAUGAUAGUGUGCCCCCCCUUACUAAGUCUGUGUUAACCUUUGAAUACACUUUUGUAAAAGAAACAUAUAUCUGCCUUGUUUGUGCAGAUAUGCAUGAUGUCCUUUAGUAAGUUUAACACUUUUUAGCUUUUAAGGUUAUGUUUCUAUAGCCAGCUGUUCACAAGGUAGCUAGCAUUAAUGCUAUUAAACAGACCUCGGUAAGGUUCAAAAAGCUAGCUGGUCUUUUCCUAAAUUUGCUUUUUGAUUACAUGGAUCUGACUGGACAUGGCUCAACAUCCAGCUUGUAGUCGAGCAGCGAUUGGUUAUCUGUCAGCUGUGAGUGACGGAACCGCAAAUGUCUGAGAAAAUUUAUAUGCUGGGAAGAAGUACACAUUGCACCACUCUACAGACUGCGCCACAUCUAUCACCCAUUCUCAGUGAUUGUGAGGAGCUGGGUGUCAGGUACAGCACUAGCAGCAGCUCAUUCAUAAUGAAGGGUCACGCAGGUCAAUGGGCUGUUUAGGCAGGCUGCCACUGUAUCGAUUUACGACAUAAUGCCGAACGAGGAUUGCGUUUUUGAUAAUUAAUCACAGUGCAGUUUGCAUUGAUCUUCUGGAUGAAAACAUGAAUGAUGGAUUGGUGGAAAUCCAUUGUAAGGUCAAGUUUUACAUAGUUACUCAUACAUCAUGGUUAUUAUUAUUAUUAUUAUU